rnacentral:lncRNA from 1 species
AGGUCAGAAAUCAAGCGACAAGAAAUCAUCUGUCAUCGAACAUGUAACAAUGGUCGUCCGAAUCCAUAACUGAAUCAUGCACACAUAUCCAAAAUGUACCUCCCAGAUGGAGAGGCAUGAUGGCAUCCAAGUGUCGAGAAGUGCGGACCUGGCUGGAUGGAUCUCAGAGGCUCCGUAAGGUAACGAUCAUGUCCACGUCUCGAUGAGCAUCCAGUAAGUGAUGAUCGCGCAAGUCCGUGAGGAUCCAUGAACCUCCAAAUGAAAUGGGAUAUGCCCCAGUGUGGCACCAGAGGUAUGAUAGGU